rnacentral:rRNA from 1 species
CCUCUAGACGUUCUGGGCUGCACGCGCGCUACAAUAAUACGCACAGCGAGUAUCACCGAGCUCGAAAGGGCAAGGUAAACAAUAGAAAAGGUACUGUAAUGGUUAUAGAUCCUUGUAAUUAUUGAUCUUCAACGAGGAAUUCCUAGUAAGUAUGUGUCAUCAUCACGCACUGAUUACGUCCCUGCCCUUUGUACACACCGCCCGUCGCUCCUACCGAUUGGGUGAGCCGAUGAAACUCUCGGAUGUAGGCUAUUCAUAGCCCGCAGAAGAGAUUUGAAUCGUAGCGCUUAGAGGAAGGAGAAGUCGUAACA